CAACAUUUGAGUUACAUGUUCUGGGUUGCAUCAAAGAAUACACCACUCAGCCGACGACAAGAACCACCAGUGUCACCACCACUCUGAUAACCACGACUCCUCCCUCAUCAACAACCCAAGGGUACUGUCUGGAAUCCAUGGAUAGCGAGUCUGGACUUUUGUCGGAUGUCAGAGGUAGAGGUUCAGUGUUG